GUUUGAGGCAAGCAUUUCAUUCUGAAUUCAGUGAUGUGGCAUUUAUGCCUGUGUUGUCUUUUAGGAGGAUCUCAGGGGGACUCAUGCUGACUUUGCUGCAAUGUUCUUGGUGAUGAUUCGUUGCCGUCGCUGCUGGUGCUUCUCUUGUGGCUGGAUCGUCAGCCGGCAGUGGGACUCUGUUUUACAAAAAACAUUGUGUUUGUGUUCGAAUAUUAAAUUACACUGUUUUUUUAUGGUUUUCAUUAAUUUUUGUGUAUACUUUAUUUCAUUUAACAUUUCUAUAAUUCAUCAUUACUCUUUACAGUAUCUGUGCAAUAAUUAUUGUCUAAAACGGCACAUUUAAAUGAAAAAAAAGGAUAGAAAUGUUAAUGAUGAUUGGAUAUGCUAAGAGGUGUUGAAGUAAUAAACUCUUUUUCAAUGGAAUUCAUCCUGAUUGAAAGCCCAUCUCCAAAUCAGUUGUUUCAAAGAUAUUGCAGAGGUUUAAGAAACAGAGUAUUAAAGAUCGAUCAAAACCUGGAUGGCUAAGCAGUGUUAUUAAUGAUGAAAAUUCGUUGACAGUUGUGUUAGAUGUGAUAGAAAAUCCAGAAUGUUCUAUACAGCAGUGGCAUUGAACCAUAUGAGUAUACUCUGUCCACUCUAACUUGGCAGUAAAUGUAAACAAACACAGGUGGCUAAAGUAAUCAGGAUUGGUUGAUGUCCUAUUUGCACUAAUGAUAUCCCGCAAUAUAGUUUUAUUAUAAUAACAAUGCUUUAUUAUUAAAUUUUUUAUACUUUGCAGGUAUAGUUAGUUGAGAGCAAUAGCAUCGAAAAAAAUUGUAAUAAUAUUGUGAAGAAAUUGGCUCUGG
rnacentral:lncRNA from 1 species